rnacentral:misc_RNA from 1 species
GGUCGUCUGCUGACUGGUGUUUUGUUUGGAAUAAUAAAAUCUCCAGUCACUGUUCGAUAAUGAUAACACUACCAGGACCAGGACCACCACCGUACAGCUGCACCAAUAUCGCGAAACGUCAACGCGAAAAUUGACGCGAAACCCCCAAAUUUUUUGGAAAACAUCGACCACACAUUUUUGAGAAAAUCGCAGGAGUGCCCAGUACAGCUCAGUUGGCCUCUCUACGAUCUACGGGGCGACCAGAUAACCGUCCCGAGAGCAACGAAGCAGACGAUUCCGGAUUCACAGACGACACGCACGUCGUCCGUACAAGCAACACAACCGCACGAUCUACCCACCCUGAUGAACAGCCGCGCGCGCGGCGCGAGACUUCAGACGAGACUUCGCUGGAGUACCGAACGAGCCUAGUAGAAGCUGCCGGAUAAGGUUCAGGGGGAGGUCGGAGGAAGGAGUGAAGUCGGUGAACGGAGCUACCAUGGAACUCGCAGCACAGCUCACCGCUGAACUUCCAACAGGAAUCGUGAUUCGCA